CCUUCGCGACGCCGACGCCCGCAUGAGACCGGACGGGCUCAAGACGGGCGCGACGGUCGUUCGUGUCGAUGGACAAAUGCGUUGCUCGGGCCGACGGAGCCAAAAGACCCCACGCCCGCGCAUGACGUUCCGCAUCCGAGAGCACGGGCAAUGCGCCCCGUGGGCCGAGGCAGCCGCGCAAGUGGGCGAGGCGUGCCGGGAACACGAGGCUUGCCUGACGUCCACCCCACAACCCGCGAGGGCAUGGGGCGGAAAGGGACCGACGAAACCGACGGAUUCCUUUCGAUAGGUAAGCAACACAGGAUACCGAA
rnacentral:misc_RNA from 1 species